rnacentral:rRNA from 1 species
GAUGAACGCUACGCGGACGAGGCUUAACACAUGCAAGUCGAGGGCAGCGAGGAUCUAGCAAUAGAUUGCUGGCGACCGGCGCACGGGUGAGUAACACGUAUCCAACCUGCCGAUAACUCGGGGAUAGCCUUUCGAAAGAAAGAUUAAUACCCGAUGGUAUAAUCAGACCGCAUGGUCUUGUUAUUAAAGAAUUUCGGUUAUCGAUGGGGAUGCGUUCCAUUAGGCAGUUGGUGAGGUAACGGCUCACCAAACCUUCGAUGGAUAGGGGUUCUGAGAGGAAGGUCCCCCACAUUGGAACUGAGACACGGUCCAA